UUGUUUUAGUUAUUUUACCAGGGCUUCUUUUACAUCCACAUAAAAGACUGUCUUGUUAGGGGAAGUGCUUUAGUUUUGGUAUUUUACCUGCAUGCUUAACUUUUGUUUUAUAAGAGCUGGUUUAUUUGUACCACCUGGGGUUUCAAACAGGUAAGAGAGGUCAGAACUGGACAGCCACUAAGUGCCCUCAAUAGCCAACUAUACAAGUUACUUGAAUGAAUGAGGUAUUGUAGUCGCUCAUCUUCCAUUAUAAAGUCUGCUUAUCACAAAGAUGGGAAGGCUUUUGGAGGGCCCUCCAUCCCUGGUCAUUCAGGUCCAUCAUUACCAAGUUCCUGGUUACUACAAUACCUGGAUCCCAACUGAGAAGAUAUCUAGAUAGCCAGGAAGCUACAUAAUAUUUCCAAAAAUAUACACUCUUCUGCCUUCAUAUGCAUAUGAACUUGAGUGA